AGCGUGCGCAGGCGGUUAUGUAAGACAGAUGUGAAAUCCCCGGGCUCAACCUGGGAACUGCAUUAGUGACUGCAUAGCUGGAGUACGGCAGAGGGGGAUGGGAAUUCCGCGUGUAGCAGUGAAAUGCGUAGAUAUGCGGAGGAACACCGAUGGCGAAGGCAAUCCCCUCGGGCCUGUACUGACGCUCAUGCACGAAAGCGUGGGGAGCAAACAGGAUUAGAUACCCUUGU
rnacentral:rRNA from 1 species